GUGCUCACUUUAGCACCACAUAUACUAAGAUUAUAAUGAUAGAUUAGUAAGGCCCUUGGGCAAGAAUGACAUGCAAAUUUGUGAAACAUUCCAUAUUUUA
ensembl:snRNA U6 U6 spliceosomal RNA